rnacentral:rRNA from 1 species
AUACGGAGGAUGCGAGCGUUAUCCGGAUUUAUUGGGUUUAAAGGGAGCGUAGGUGGAUUGUUAAGUCAGUUGUGAAAGUUUGCGGCUCAACCGUAAAAUUGCAGUUGAAACUGGGAGUCUUGAGUACAGUAGAGGUGGGCGGAAUUCGUGGUGUAGCGGUGAAAUGCUUAGAUAUCACGAAGAACUCCGAUUGCGAAGGCAGCUCACUAGACUGUUACUGACACUGAUGCUCGAAAGUGUGGGUAUCAAACAGGAUUAGAUACCCUGGUAGUCCACACAGUAAACGAUGAAUACUCGCUGUUUGCGAUAUACAGUAAGCGGCCAAGCGAAAGCAUUAAGUAUUCCACCUGGGGAGUACGCCGGCAACGGUGAAACUCAAAUGAAUUGGCGGGG